CAGUCGCCGCGGGAAUACUGAGGGUGCAAGCGUUAAUCGGAAUUACUGGGCGUAAAGCGCACGCAGGCGGUCUGACAAGUCAGAUGUGAAAUCCCCGGGCUUAACCUGGGAACUGCAUUUGAAACUGUCAGGCUGGAGUCUUGUAGAGGGGGGUAGAAUUCCAGGUGUAGCGGUGAAAUGCGUAGAGAUCUGGAGGAAUACCGGUGGCGAAGGCGGCCCCCUGGACAAAGACUGACGCUCAGGUGCGAAAGCGUGGGGAGCAAACAGGAUUAGAUACCCGAGUAGUCCCUGUCUCUUAUAC
rnacentral:rRNA from 1 species